UGUGAUACGCUCGUCUUAAAGAUUAAGCCAUGCAUGUCUAAGUACAGCCUUAGUAAAAGGUGAAACCGCGAAAGGCUCAUUACAUCAGUCAUUGUUCACGAGAUCGUACAACCACAUUUACUUGGAUAACUGUGGCAACUGUACAGCUAAUACAUGCUACAAGGGAACAUUCUGGAGACGGAUUGUUUGCUUUUAUUCUACUCAGAAACCAAUGGGCUGCAGACUUCGCGUCUGUAGUUUCAUAUAUUGGUGAACUGCAUAACACUUUAUGAUCGCACCGGUCUUGCACCCGGCGACUGAUCUCGCAAGUGACUGACCCAUCAACUUGAUGGUAGGUUAUAUGCCUACCAUGGUUGUAACGGGUAACGGGGAAUCUGGGUUCGAUUCCGGAGAGGGAGCCUGAGAGAUGGCUACCACAUCUAAGGAAGGCAGCAGGCACGAAACUUACCCACUCCCGGCACGGGGAGGUAGUGACGAAAAAUACCAAUACGGACUUUCAUUCGAACGUUCGUAUUUGGAAUGAGUUAUACUCUAGAUCUUUUAACAAAGAUCCAUUGGAGGGCUAGUCUGGUGCCAGCAGCCGCGGUAAUACCAGCUCCAAUAGCGUAU
rnacentral:rRNA from 1 species